AAUACCAGCCAAUCGAAAUCAUCCACGUUAGAAACGCGCAUGCAUAAAAUGUCUAUUCAAAGUACGCUCAUCAUUUAAACUACUCGUGAAUUCUGUAAGACAUACAUCGUUGUUAGUUAGCCUUGUAAUUUACUGAGCUGAUUAAAAUGAAGAUCGAAUUUCUUCUUCUUCUGUUGUGUAUGGCAAAUAUCUUUGUUGUUUCAGACAGUUGCUUGAAUUGCAUCCAUGAUGAACCCUGUUCCGAAAAUUCACAGUGUUGCCCAUCAUAUACUUGCCGGGAAGUUUCUCUCGGAAAAAAAAGAUGUGUUGCAAAAAGUGCAAGGAUAAAAAGUAAAAACACAGAAUGAAUAAAAUAAACUUCCAGAAAAAAUAAACAUCUAGCAUUGACAA